ACUUAAAUUGAAGAGUUUGAUCAUGGCUCAGAUUGAACGCUGGCGGCAGGCCUAACACAUGCAAGUCGAACGGUAGCACAGAGAGCUUGCUCUCGGGUGACGAGUGGCGGACGGGUGAGUAAUGUCUGGGAAACUGCCUGAUGGAGGGGGAUAACUACUGGAAACGGUAGCUAAUACCGCAUAACGUCGCAAGACCAAAGAGGGGGACCUUCGGGCCUCUUGCCAUCAGAUGUGCCCAGAUGGGAUUAGCUAGUAGGUGGGGUAACGGCUCACCUAGGCGACGAUCCCUAGCUGGUCUGAGAGGAUGACCAGCCACACUGGAACUGAGACACGGUCCAGACUCCUACGGGAGGCAGCAGUGGGGAAUAUUGCACAAUGGGCGCAAGCCUGAUGCAGCCAUGCCGCGUGUAUGAAGAAGGCCUCGGGUUGUAAAGUACUUUCAGCGGGGAGGAAGGCGAUACGGUUAAUAACCGUGUCGAUUGACGUUACCCGCAGAAGAAGCACCGGCUAACUCCGUGCCAGCAGCCGCGGUAAUACGGAGGGUGCAAGCGUUAAUCGGAAUACUGGGCGUAAAGCGCACGCAGGC
rnacentral:rRNA from 1 species